CCUACGGGGGGCUGCAGUCGAGGAUCUUCGGCAAUGGGCGCAAGCCUGACCGAGCGACGCCGCGUGUGCGAUGAAGGCCUUCGGGUUGUAAAGCACUGUCGAGAGGGAGAAAGCCGCAAGGUUGAUCUAUCUCUGGAGGAAGGACGGGCUAAGUUCGUGCCAGCAGCCGCGGUAAGACGAACCGUCCAAACGUUAUUCGGAAUCACUGGGCUUAAAGGGCGCGUAGGCGGGCGAGCAAGUCUGUGGUGAAAUACCCCGGCUUAACCGGGGAACUGCCGUGGAUACUGCUUGUCUCGAGGAGGGUAGGGGCAUCUGGAACAGCCGGUGGAGCGGUGAAAUGCGUUGAUAUCGGCUGGAACUCCGGUGGCGAAGGCGAGAUGCUGGACCCUUUCUGACGCUGAGGCGCGAAAGCCAGGGGAGCGAACGGGAUUAGAUACCCCUGUAGUC
rnacentral:rRNA from 1 species